rnacentral:tRNA from 2 species
GCUCUUAUGGUGUAAAAGAACACAUUAGAUUUUCGAUCUAAAUUUGGGGUAUUUUCUCCUAAGGGCU